rnacentral:rRNA from 1 species
GUGGGUAGUUUGACUGGGGCGGUCUCCUCCCAAAGAGUAACGGAGGAGCACGAAGGUUAGCUAAUCCUGGUCGGACAUCAGGAGGUUAGUGCAAUGGCAUAAGCUAGCUUGACUGCGAGCGUGACGGCGCGAGCAGGUGCGAAAGCAGGUCAUAGUGAUCCGGUGGUUCUGAAUGGAAGGGCCAUCGCUCAACGGAUAAAAGGUACUCCGGGGAUAACAGGCUGAUACCGCCCAAGAGUUCAUAUCGACGGCGGUGUUUGGCACCUCGAUGUCGGCUCAUCACAUCCUGGGGCUGAAGUAGGUCCCAAGGGUAUGGCUGUUCGCCAUUUAAAGUGGUACGCGAGCUGGGUUUAGAACGUCGUGAGACAGUUCGGUCCCUAUCUGCCGUGGGCGCUGGAGAAUUGAGGGGGGCUGCUCCUAGUACGAGAGGACCGGAGUGGACGCAUCACUGGUGUUCGGGUUGUCAUGCCAAUGGCACUGCCCGGUAGCUAAAUGCGGAAGAGAUAAGUGCUGAA